CCGAAAUCUUUAAACCGAAAUUGGUAUUCGGUUUGAUUUAAAAUUUGGACCAAGACAAUAAACCAAUUGCUUAUAUAUUAAAUUGUUAAUUAUAAGUUUCCUAAAAACCUAAAGCUAUGUGCCGUCAGUGGAGAUUCAACCUUCUCUAAGCCAUCUUCUUCUCCAUCUCCAGCCACCAUGAAAGAGGAGCCAUCACACCAUUUGAGAAGAGAGACUAAAGCUCAUCAGACAUGUUUAUGGAGAACUGAAGAACGAUCGAUCAAAACUAAGUAUUUCGAAGCCAAAUUUUGAGAUCGGAUCUGCCGAUAAGUCAACUUCAUCAGUGUUUUUCCGUUGAUCUAGAAGGAACCAGAAAACGAGCGAGAUAUCAAUCGAAAGAUCUCGUUGUCAGCUUUCCAGAUCAUCUUCCCGAUCGUAAAACCAAGGCACGGUUGGAAAGUUAUUGACGUUGCUUCUUGGCCAAGGAUAAGCUGAAGCUUUAGUGAUGCAGAUACAGUUCCGACCAGUCUCAGUGUAAAGGCCAAACGGCCGAUCUAAACGAAAGCUUUCAAUCUGGAAAUUUGUAAGUAAGUAGUUGAUUCUUUUAUCUAUCAUCUCCAACAAGCGGAUCGUUAUUUCGAGUUAUUAUCUGAGAAUUAUGCUUGUUUUCGUGAGAGGUGUUUGUGCAGUCUGCGUUUGUGACCAGCCUAGGUGGGAAGCCAUUUUGGUUGAUCAAAUCGUGUCUGAUCGGAGUAAAGUCGGUGGCUACGGACAGAGGACAUCUAGCACUACAUUAUGAACGGAGGGAUUGAAAAGUUAACGAGAGUUCCAGAAUUGCUGUUUCAGAGUCGUCAAGGUUCAUUAUGUGUUUUCUCAGGUUAUCUUCAGAACUCGUGGCAAAGGUGAGACUAGCGGACAGAAGUGAUUGCUAUUGGAUGGGUGCUUUGGGAGUUUUAUUUCUUAUUUUCAGACUUCGGUUUUAUGCUUUUAUCGAUAUUUUCCGAGAAUUAUGUGAAUAUUGGAUUUAUGGUUAGUUAUUGGAUUUAUAAUGAGUAAUAAAUUGAGUAUUUUGAAGAUUA